CAAAAAAGCACGAUGCCAAAUCGGGUUUUUUUCUGUUAGUUGCGAAUGUAUUCGUUAUAGUAGUUAAUUUGCUAGUCCACGGAUGUUCCCGCCGAAAUUGGACUUCGUUAUUAUGAAUAUUAAUAAAUUAAUAUGAGGUGUGUUUUUAUCAACUUAACCACUUGGUUGUUUUUGCUUCAGAAAAGCAACUAGUUAUAAAUGUAAGCGCUUUUUUGGACAACUUCGGUGAAAAAGUGUUGAUUUCGUAGUUCAGUCAGCGUAAUUUAUAUCCGAGACGAGAGGUCUUACAGGCGCCACAGACACCUAUCAGCCUUUUGUAAGGAGGAGCAGCUCGAGUGCGGUGCGGUCAGUAGCCCUUCAAAUUAGAAAAGUGAGGAUGAUCUUGUCAAUGCUGAGAUUUUCAUGCAUCAGCAGCCACUACAUCUGGAUCAGAUUGAACAAGAAACAGACAGCAAGGGUUGUCAGGUCAGAAACAGAAUGACACACAAACACAAGAAACUUCACAGGCAGAUCAACAUGCAAUUUGAAGUCGUGUGAUUAUAUACAGAGAGGUGAAGUAGUGUGUCUUUCCAGAUGCCCAAAUCAUUCCCCCUUAAAAGAUGAGCCUGAAGAGGAGAUUUGGGAAGAUGCUGUUUCAUAAGUCGCUUUGCCAGAUCACCUGUGGUCGGGAUGUCUGCUAACAAGAUGCCUUGCUGGUCUGAGCGAGUUUAAAGUCUUACACAGACAGUCCAGAAGUUCUGAAGUCCAUCUUCGAUUUCAUUGAUGCUGUCAUCGUAUUAAGUACAGCAUGAGCCAGAAUAGAUGGGUGGUGGUGGCCAUAAGAAGACUGUCAACUAAACCAACAACAAAAUUCAUAUUUGCAGUUUUUCUUGAAUAAAGUUUUUCUAUUCAGAUGAAUAAAAUGACUUUUAAACA